rnacentral:rRNA from 1 species
ACGAGAGCCAGGGAGCGAAUGGGAUUAGAUACCCCAGUAGUCCUGGCCGUAAACGAUGGAUACCAAGCCCUGCGCGUAUCGACCCGGGCAGGGCUGUAGCUAACGCAUGAAGUAUCCCGCCUGGGGAGUACGCUCGCAAGAGUGAAACUCAAAGGAAUUGACGGGAGCCCGCACAAGCGGUGGAGCAUGUGGUUUAAUUCGAUGCAACGCGAAGAACCUUACCAGGGCUUGACAUGCCGCGAACCCCCCUGAGAGGGGGGGGUGCCUUCGGGAGCGCGGACACAGGUGGUGCAUGGCUGUCGUCAGCUCGUGUCGUAAGAUGUUGGGUUCAGUCCCGCAACGAGCGCAACCCCCGUCUCUAGUUGCCCACAAUUCGGCACCCUAGAGAGACCGCCGGUGUUAAGCCGGAGGAAGGUGGGGAUGAGGUCAAGUCAACAUGCCCCUUUUGCCCUGGGCGACACACGUGCUACAAUGGCAGGGACAAAGAGAUGCGACCCCGCAAGGGCCAGCCUGACCUCGUAAACCCGGCCUCAGUUCGGAUUGUAGGCUGCAACCCGCCUACAUGAAGGAGGAAUCGCUAGUAAUCACCGGUCAGCCAUACGGUGGUGAAUCCGUUCCCGGGCUUUGCGCACACCGCCCGUCACACUAUGGGAAUCGGCCAUGCCCCAAGUCGUUACCCCAACCCGUAGGGAGGGGGAUGCCAAAGGCA